AAAGGUAGCAUAAUCAUUAGGGAUUUAAUUGGGACCUAGAAUGAAGGGUUGGACAAAAGAAAAACUGUCUUUGUUGAUAAAAAUUAAAGUUUACUUUUAAGUGAAAAGGCUUAAAUGAAUCAAGGGGACGAUAAGACCCUAUAAAGCUUUAUAGAUAACUUAAAUUUAGUUGAUUUAUUAAGAUAAAAUUUAAAUUUAAUUAUUCUAUUUUAUUGGGGUGAUAUGAGUAUAAUUACUAUUAACUGCUUAAUAUAAAUACUAAUAUGAAAGAAUUUUAAGUGAAUGAUCCUUUGUAAAGAUUAAAAGACCAAGUUACUUUAGGGAUAACAGCGUUAUUUUUUUUGAGAGUUCAUAUCGAAAAAAAAGAUUGCGACCUCGAUGUUGAAUUAAAAAAUCUAUAUAAUGCAGCAGUUAUAUAAGAAGGUCUGUUCGACCUUUAAAUU
rnacentral:rRNA from 1 species